UUUUCGGCUGGAAUGGGGAAUUUGUGAGCCAAGGUUAACUAUUUGUAACAUGUCAUCUUUCAAGGAAGCAUCUAACCAAGAUUAAGUCAAAGGCAUCUACCAGGUCCUGAAUUCUCUCCCAGAUGCACACCUUUUAAGGUCAAGGAUGCAUUCCAGGAAAGUUCUAUAAAAAUAUACCAUCAACUCCAACCUGAUAUUUGACCUAGCCAUGGAAAACCUCAUUGGCUCCUCACUGGAUCAGACCAUAAAAAUGAUCCAGGAAUGAAAAUCUAAGAUAAAUUCCCACCACUUCAAGAUGU
rnacentral:lncRNA from 1 species